rnacentral:sRNA from 1 species
ACCACUGCACUAGAGACUGUAGUCCUCUAAUUAUCCAUAGAACUAGUACAGCAUAUUCAGCAGCCCUGCAAGAUUCCCCACUGACUUGCUAAUGUGAUUCACCUGCAACUUGGAAAGCCCAUCCUAGGGUGAGAGGGCAAUUCAGUCUCCAUCCCCAUUUAAGCCCUGAUUCUG